GCUGGCGGCAGGCCUAACACAUGCAAGUCGAACGGUAACAGGAAGAAGCUUGCUUCUUUGCUGACGAGUGGCGGACGGGUGAGUAAUGUCUGGGAAACUGCCUGAUGGAGGGGGAUAACUACUGGAAACGGUAGCUAAUACCGCAUAACGUCGCAAAACCAAAGAGGGGGACCUUCGGGCCUCUUGCCAUCGGAUGUGCCCAGAUGGGAUUAGCUAGUAGGUGGGGUAACGGCUCACCUAGGCGACGAUCCCUAGCUGGUCUGAGAGGAUGACCAGCCACACUGGAACUGAGACACGGUCCAGACUCCUACGGGAGGCAGCAGAAGGGCGAAUU
rnacentral:rRNA from 1 species